ACUUGCCUGGCUCAGUUGGUAGAGCAUGUGACUCUUGAUCUCAGGGUAGUGAGAUCGAGCCCCAUGUUGGGUG
rnacentral:tRNA from 1 species